GUAAAAGAAGUUUUUAACAUUAACUUUGGGAGUUAAUAAAUUGAGCUAAUUGUUCACUUUUAAA
rnacentral:tRNA from 1 species